GAUGAACGCUGGCGGCGUGCCUAAUACAUGCAAGUCGAGCGAACAGACGAGGAGCUUGCUCCUCUGACGUUAGCGGCGGACGGGUGAGUAACACGUGGAUAACCUACCUAUAAGACUGGGAUAACUUCGGGAAACCGGAGCUAAUACCGGAUAAUAUAUUGAACCGCAUGGUUCAAUAGUGAAAGACGGUUUUGCUGUCACUUAUAGAUGGAUCCGCGCCGCAUUAGCUAGUUGGUAAGGUAACGGCUUACCAAGGCGACGAUGCGUAGCCGACCUGAGAGGAUGAUCGGCCACACUGGAACUGAGACACGGUCCAGACUCCUACGGGAGGCAGCAGUAGGGAAUAUUCCGCAAUGGGCGAAAGCCUGACGGAGCAACGCCGCGUGAGUGAUGAAGGUCUUCGGAUCGUAAAGCUCUGUUAUUAGGGAGGAACAAAUGUGUAAGUAACUAUGCACGUCUUGACGGUACCUAAUCAGAAAGCCACGGCUAACUACGUG
rnacentral:rRNA from 1 species